AGAGUUUGAUCCUGGCUCAGGAUGAACGCUAGCGACAGGCUUAACACAUGCAAGUCGAGGGGCAGCGAGGAGUAAGCUUGCUUACUCUGUCGGCGACCGGCGCACGGGUGAGUAACACGUAUGCAACCUGCCCUUGUCAGGGGGAUAAUCCGGAGAAAUCCGGUCUAAUAUCGCAUAAAGCGUUAGUGAGGCAUCUCACAGACGCCAAAGGAGAGAUCCGGACAAGGAUGGGCAUGCGGCGCAUUAGCUAGUUGGGGGGGUAACGGCCCACCAAGGCGACGAUGCGUAGGGGUUCUGAGAGGAAGGUCCCCCACAUUGGUACUGAGACACGGACCAAACUCCUACGGGAGGCAGCAGUGAGGAAUAUUGGUCAAUGGGCGGAAGCCUGAACCAGCCAAGUCGCGUGAGGGAAGACGGCCCUAAGGGUUGUAAACCUCUUUUGCCGGGGAGCAAAGGCACCGUGCGCGGUGCUAUGAGAGUACCCGGAGAAAAAGCAUCGGCUAACUCCGUGCCAGCAGCCGCGGUAAUACGGAGGAUGCGAGCGUUAUCCGGAUUUAUUGGGUUUAAAGGGUGCGUAGGCGGACAUUUAAGUCAGCGGUCAAAACGGGUGGCUCAACCACCUGUCGCCGUUGAAACUGGGUGUCUAGAGUGGGCGAGAAGUACGCGGAAUGCGCGGUGUAGCGGUGAAAUGCAUAGAUAUUGCGCAGAACUCCGAUUGCGAAGGCAGCGUACCGGCGCCCGACUGACGCUGAAGCACGAAAGCGUGGGGAUCGAACAGGAUUAGAUACCCUGGUAGUCCACGCAGUAAACGAUGGACACUAGCUGUUCGGGUCGAAUGAGAUCUGAGUGGCACAGCGAAAGCGUUAAGUGUCCCACCUGGGGAGUACGCCGGCAACGGUGAAACUCAAAGGAAUUGACG
rnacentral:rRNA from 1 species